rnacentral:rRNA from 1 species
GGCUCAGAUUGAACGCUGGCGGCAUGCCUUACACAUGCAAGUCGAACGGUAACAGGUCUUCGGAUGCUGACGAGUGGCGAACGGGUGAGUAAUACAUCGGAACGUGCCCAGUAAUGGGGGAUAGCUCGGCGAAAGCCGGAUUAAUACCGCAUACGCCCUGAGGGGGAAAGUGGGGGAUCGCAAGACCUCACGUUAUUGGAGCGGCCGAUGGCUGAUUAGCUAGUUGGUAGGGUAAAGGCCUACCAAGGCGACGAUCAGUAGCUGGUCUGAGAGGACGAUCAGCCACACUGGGACUGAGACACGGCCCAGACUCCUACGGGAGGCAGCAGUGGGGAAUUUUGGACAAUGGGGGAAACCCUGAUCCAGCAAUGCCGCGUGUGCGAAGAAAGCCUUCGGGUUGUAAAGCACUUUUGUCAGGGAAGAAAUCCUUUGGGCUAAUACCCUAGGGGGAUGACGGUACCUGAAGAAUAAGCACCGGCUAACUACGUGCCAGCAGCCGCGGUAAUACGUAGGGUGCAAGCGUUAAUCGGAAUUACUGGGCGUAAAGCGUGCGCAGGCGGUUGUGUAAGACAGGUGUGAAAUCCCCGGGCUUAACCUGGGAAUUGCAUUUGUGACUGCACGACUAGAGUGUGUCAGAGGGGGGUGGAAUUCCACGUGUAGCAGUGAAAUGCGUAGAUAUGUGGAGGAACACCAAUGGCGAAGGCAGCCCCCUGGGAUAACACUGACGCUCAUGCACGAAAGCGUGGGGAGCAAACAGGAUUAGAUACCCUGGUAGUCCACGCCCUAAACGAUGUCAACUAGUUGUUGGGGAUUUACUUCCUUGGUAACGUAGCUAACGCGUGAAGUUGACCGCCUGGGGAGUACGGCCGCAAGGUUAAAACUCAAAGGAAUUGACGGGGACCCGCACAAGCGGUGGAUGAUGUGGAUUAAUUCGAUGCAACGCGAAAAACCUUACCUACCCUUGACAUGGCAGAAACUUUCCAGAGAUGGAUUGGUGCUCGAAAGAGAACCUGCACACAGGUGCUGCAUGGCUGUCGUCAGCUCGUGUCGCGAGAUGUUGGGUUAAGUCCCGCAACGAGCGCAACCCUUGUCAUUAGUUGCUACGAAAGGGCACUCUAAUGAGACUGCCGGUGACAAACCGGAGGAAGGUGGGGAUGACGUCAAGUCCUCAUGGCCCUUAUGGGUAGGGCUUCACACGUCAUACAAUGGUCGGUACAGAGGGUUGCCAAGCCGCGAGGUGGAGCCAAUCCCAGAAAACCGAUCGUAGUCCGGAUCGCAGUCUGCAACUCGACUGCGUGAAGUCGGAAUCGCUAGUAAUCGCGGAUCAGAAUGCCGCGGUGAAUACGUUCCCGGGUCUUGUACACACCGCCCGUCACACCAUGGAAGUGGGUUCUACCAGAAGUGGCUAGUCUAACCGCAAGGAGGACGGUCACCACGGUAGGAUU